rnacentral:rRNA from 1 species
GACGAACGCUGGCGGCGUGCUUAACACAUGCAAGUCGAACGGAAAGGCCUUUUCGGAGGUACUCGAGUGGCGAACGGGUGAGUAACACGUGGGUGAUCUGCCCUGCACUCUGGGAUAAGCCUGGGAAACUGGGUCUAAUACCGGAUAGGACCGCACUUUAGAGUGUGUGGGGGCAAGAUUUUUCGGUGUAGGAUGAGCCCGCGGCCUAUCAGCUUGUUGUUGGGGUAAUGGCCGGCCAAGGCGGCGACGGGUAGCCGGACUGAGAGGUUGGGCGGCCACAUUGGGACUGAGAGACGGCCCAGACUCCGACGGGAGGCAGCAGGGGGGAAGAUUGCACAAUGGGCGCAAGCCGGAUGCAGCGACGCCGCGUGGGGGAUGACGGCCUUCGGGUUGUAAACUCCUUUCGCCAGGGACGAAGCGUUUUGUGACGGUACCUGGAGAAGAAGCACCGGCUAACUACGUG